rnacentral:rRNA from 1 species
CGAACGGGUGAGUAACGCGUGAGGAACCUGCCUCAAAGAGGGGGACAACAGUUGGAAACGACUGCUAAUACCGCAUAAGCCUACGGCUCGGCAUCGAGCAGAGGGAAAAGGAGCGAUCCGCUUUGAGAUGGCCUCGCGUCCGAUUAGCUAGUUGGUGAGGUAACGGCCCACCAAGGCGACGAUCGGUAGCCGGACUGAGAGGUUGAACGGCCACAUUGGGACUGAGACACGGCCCAG